GACAAACGGAUCAAGUUAAGAUUUGUUCAGUAAAAAAGGGGGUUAAAAAUAUAAAUAUAGGGAAAUCUGCUUUUUCUAUAAAGGUGAAAUUUGUAUAGGGAGGGUUAGUUUUUUGUUUCCUGUUUUUGAAUCCCCGAAAGUUUAGCGUAAGACCGGGAUUAGAUACCCCGUUAUUUAUUCUGUAAACUUUAAUUCGUUGUAAUUUACUUGGGUAUUACGGGCUGCAGGGCACUGUUGUGUCUAGCAAGUGGCUUAAAACUCAAAAAACUUGGCGGUGCCUUAAUUCUUUCCGGGGGAACCUGUCCUUUAAUCGAUGGUCCACGAUUUAGCUUACCUUAUUUUGAAUAUUAAUUUUAUAUGUUAAUACAGCUUGUAUACCGUCGUCGUCAGAUUACCUUUAAGAGAUUAGAAGUUGUCGGGAGGAAACUGCCCUAUAGGUUGCUUCAUGUUAUGGGGCAGCUUAUAGUUCUUAAUUCUAGAUGUCAGAUCAAGGUGCAGCUUAUGAUAGGGGAGAGAUGGGUUACAAUAGCAAUUUGCUAAGACGGAUUUCACUUUGUAAUAAGUGAGUAUGAAGGUGGACUCGGGAGUAAUAUAAUUAUAAGUAGAGAGUUUUUGUGAAAAUUGGUGCUAAGGUGCGU
rnacentral:rRNA from 1 species